rnacentral:rRNA from 1 species
CACUGGUGGCGACCGGCGCACGGGUGCGUAACGCGUAUGCAACCUACCUUUAACAGGGGCAUAACACUGAGAAAUUGGUACUAAUUCCCCAUAACAUUCGAGAAGGCAUCUUCUUGGGUUAAAAACUCCGGUGGUUAAAGAUGGGCAUGCGUUGUAUUAGCUAGUUGGUGAGGUAACGGCUCACCAAGGCAACGAUACAUAGGGGGACUGAGAGGUUAACCCCCCACAUUGGUACUGAGACACGGACCAA